GACGAACGCUGGCGGCGUGCCUAAUACAUGCAAGUUGAGCGCUGAAGGUUGGUACUUGUACCGACUGGAUGAGCAGCGAACGGGUGAGUAACGCGUGGGGAAUCUGCCUUUGAGCGGGGGACAACAUUUGGAAACGAAUGCUAAUACCGCAUAAAAACUUUAAACACAAGUUUUAAGUUUGAAAGAUGCAAUUGCAUCACUCAAAGAUGAUCCCGCGUUGUAUUAGCUAGUUGGUGAGGUAAAGGCUCACCAAGGCGAUGAUACAUAGCCGACCUGAGAGGGUGGUCGGCCACAUUGGGACUGAGACACGGCCCAAACUCCUACGGGAGGCAGCAGUAGGGAAUCUUCGGCAAUGGACGAGAGUCUGACCGAGCAACGCGGCGUGAGUGAAGAAGGUUUUCGGAUCGUAAAACUCUGUUGGUAGAGAAGAACGUUGGUGAGAGUGGAAAGCUCAUCAAGUGACGGUAACUACCCAGAAAGGGACGGCUAACUACGUGCCAGCAGCCGCCGUAA
rnacentral:rRNA from 1 species